CAUGGCACCUGGCGAGAUGACAUUUUGCUGGAGGAAAGGGAGAUCUUCUAAGAGCAAAGAGCUUUCCAGGAGCUGGGACCAGGACUAUCACGACAGGAUUGCCCUAUGUCGUCCAUGCUGGUCUGGAACUCCUGGGCUCAAGAGAUCCUCUCACCUUGGCCUCCCGCUGGACGAGUAGGAGAAGGCCCCGGGGGAUAGUGAGGGCGGUGGACCGAAGCUUCCAGAAUGCAAGCACAACCUGCCCAGGAGUGGACAGAGGCAGCUCGGGAUGACAUUUAUCCAAGGGAGUGUAAAAUAGAGUCAGAGAAGCACUGGUAUGAGGAGUUUGGAGCCCUCAUUCCAUUCAUUCCCUGAGUUCUAGGAGCCUCCUCUGUUCCUCCAGAAGCCAAAAGACAGGGCAGGAAGACAAAAUCUUUCCGCAACUCCUCACCAUUCUCUGUUGUGCCCACAAUCUCCGGUUCCACCCUCACUGUAAAAUCACGUCUCCAUCCGCCUGCUUGAUCUUUCAGCCAGCCGCUCCUCA
rnacentral:lncRNA from 1 species